AUACUCUGGUUUCUCCUCAGAUUGUAUAAAUCUUUUGCCUUUUACUAAAGAUUUCCAUGGAGAGGACAACUCUGAGUCUUAAACCAAUUUUUUGAGGUCUUGUUUCAGCAAGGUU
rnacentral:snRNA from 1 species